GACGAGGAGGUCGCUUGAAAUCUCCUUUUAUCUAACUCCUAUUUUCUCUCUGGAUCAGCAACUUUGAAUAGACACCAUCUAAUCGCUCGUAAUGGAAAAUGAAAAAAAAAAAAAACCAACAAAAAAACCCCACCCAACAAAAAACAACUGUGUGUGUGCUCUGGGAGCUUCGAAAACGUUUUUGCGCUGGGCUGCCUGGCCGAAGCGGUGCUUGCCCUUGAGUGCACCAGACAAGGACCAGCGUGAGCAGCCCGCUGCAGCCGAAGCCCGCUCUGCUCACACCCUGCGCCUCUGCGGAGACACAGGCGUGCCCUGUCCUUCCUCCCUUCCCCCCUGCGCCAGGGUAUUCCCUGCCUCCUGGGGCCGGGUGGUCUGGCGGUGGGGAGCAACCAGCAGCCCAGAGACCCCUUCUUGGUGCCCUUUCUUGAGGAGUGAUGCUCGGAGUUGUAACACGGGACAGUCGACUCGACAUUAUUUUCCCUCUCACCCUCAGACUCCUGGAUUUUUGUGAUUUGCGCUUUUUUGCGGAUACCCGGACUGAGAGACAGUCCCGGCCGCCGGGAGUGGGUAACCCCAAGGAACAGUCGCUCUGUGGCGGGCAACAACUCCGCACAGCGGCCAGGCACCGAUGGGUGUUCAAAGAUUUCUGGGGAUCAUCUUGCCAAGGUGUUUCUGAUAGUAUAUUUUUGUUGUUGUUGUUGUUUUUGUUUUCUUAUGCACAAGGAAAAAAAAAAAAAAAGAGAUGGGCAAACUUGGGGGGCCUCUGUCAAAUAGCAAAAGCUUUGUUCUAGAGGCUCAAUCCAGGGCACUAUCUCUUUCCUCCUAGCAGCUCAGAAAUUGGCAUUUCUUUCUCAGUCUGGGAUGCUUUUGCUGUAAAUUCCUUCAUGUGACUACUUUGUUGCUAAGGCUACAAGUUCCCAUCCCGACACACAAAUCUUUUCCACUCCAGGAGCAGCUCAAGUCCUGGGCAGAAGUCAUGACUUAAGAGACUUACUUCAAACUCCUUGGAGUGCCUCCCUGCUAAAUACCUGCUUAAGUCUGGAGGUUCAAAUGAAGUCCUCCCCCCGCCAUCGUGUGUCACCCCCCUCCUUCUCUCCCGAGUUUGGAGGAUUCUAACCUUGAUUUUCCAGCUUUGACCCCCCUCUGGAAGCGAAACAAUGGCAGCAGCAAAACACUAUCAAGAAACUGCCUCCUGGCUAACAUUCUCGGCAAACCCUCAUGGCUAUUUACUCAAAUGAGCAGCCCAACAAAUAAGUUGUUAGCCUAAAUGAAAAUUAUAGCAGAUAAAAAUUGUCAGCCUGGGAAUGGAACUAAUAAGGAAAAGAAUUGCAUGAAGCUGACAGCACAGUUUUGGACAUUGGGAAGAAUAAAGGAAAGCACAGCUACUGAAAUCAACUCAUGAGACUGAGGUAAACAGGAAAAAUCCACAUCCAUCGUCACACAUAGAUGAUGAGUGUGACUCUCAGCAGUGAUGGCUAAACCGUGCUUUAACACAAUAAAACUCAAGGCUGUGUUUAUGGUCAUAUGUGUCAAAUGGGUGUGAAAUGCUGGCUAAAACUACAGACAUAUCUUUGACUGAUCAAGCCUGAACUUUGGGAUCACACAUCAGAAAUUUGUGUCCAAAUCUUACAUCUCCAGUGUGGGCUGAGCCUCUUCAGACAGCAGCUGAUAUCACAGCCACCACAAACACUGGCAGGAGGUUGACAAUGGAAAGUAAUAGCAGGAAAAAUGGAUUUUUCUCAACAUGUUGAAUAGGCUGCCGAAAUCCCUUUGCAAUCCACCUGCAGUCUGGAGAUUGGCCAUUGCAGAGAAACCAAAGUUAAAUAACCAACUAUGGACUUUAUAUGCUAAAAAUAAAACAGCUCAGAAGAAAAAAAACCCAGGUUUUUAAAUCUUAUGAUCAAACUUAUAAUAAUAAUAGAAAUGUUUGAUUACUUUCUCUGAUAAUCUUUCUCGAUCGAAUGUUAUUCCUUCUCUGGAACUGUAAUGGAUGGUGAUAGGUGCUGGUAUUGAAAUUUAGUUUUUUUUCUGUCAGAAACUUAUCCUUAGGGCCUUCUAGUUAGCAACUCUUUUGAUGUGUUAACAGCCCACAGCUCUCAUCUCAGAGAUUCUUCAAUGGAGUGUGUACUUCUUGAAUAAAAACUCAUUGUACAAUCUUCAGAAUAAAAUUUUUAUUUCUACUAAUUUGAUGAUUUAUGCACCUAGCAGCUUAAUACAAAGAGUCUGGUGUCAGAACUUUGGUAAAAUUAAAAAAACCCUCAACCCCCCCAGAAUCACUUUCCCCCAAAACACUGGCUUAUAGUAAGAAAGAAUUUGGUUUGCCCCUUACUUUACAAAUAGGAAAAAUUAAAUACUAUAGCUUAUAAAUAUUAUCAUGGUAUGGCAAAGUCAAUUUUGUAUGAAGCACAAUAUUGAAUAGUAACUGUCUUAGUAACAGAAGGAAAAGAGAAUUUUGCUGAAUGCCAUGUUUACCACAGUCUAAUACCUACUCAUCUGUCACUCAGACAAUGCUACAUUGAAAGGUAAUUUCUGUGAAUUGGAGAAAAAAGGAUUUGACCACAUGUAGAAAGACAAUUUUCCUACUUUGUGCACUCUUGCAUCAAUAAAAAAGAAGAAAUUAUAGUUUUUCAGCAGAUUGUGAGUUUAUUAAAACCAUUAUCUGAUAUUCUAUAUCGUCAAGUUAUACUUCAUACUUCUUAUGAGAUUAAGAUACAAAGAUAUAUCUAGUUUAAGGAAAUAUCUUCAAAAUUCAGAUGUAAGAGAGCUGCAUUAAAGCAAAUAUUCAGAUUAAUUUGUGAUGGGAUUAUUUAAUGUCUAACAGCAAAGAAGAAAUUGCUAAGUCAGGAGAGAGAAACUUUGGUGUCACUGUCUCUUUGCAAUCACUUCCCCAAAUGUUUAUAUGUGUAAGCUCUGACUAAAAAUCAGGUAAAAAGUUUAAUUUGAUGUUACUGUAGUUUUUGCUGAUUGUUUAUUAUGUUUGACCUACUUAUGUAAAUACUUCCAACUAGUGCAUUGUCUGAAAGUAACUCGCAACAGGUGAGUUUAAAGGCCAGCUAAAAACCUGUGUGUUGACUAUAAAAUGAACACAAUAAUUCUAAAUGAUUUCAAAAUUUAUGUAAAAAUGAGUGUAUUAAAGUACACUAAAGCAUCUGACUAAUUAUACCCAAUUUUUAAAAUUGUAAAUAUAUAAGAAUUUACCAGUAAUUUUGAAAUAGAUUAUUUCCCUCUAUGUUUUAGUAUAUUUAAUAGCUGAAAUCUUCAGGCUAGCAUGAUCUACAGAAGACAUACAAAUAUUUAGUGAAAAAUAAAGAAAGAAAAUAUAUGUUGGUACUCCUUUGAAAGCAACUUUCAAUGUGAAAACACUAAUAACACAUUUGAUAUGUCAUGAUGGGGAGCAGAAUAUGAUUUUACAAAAAUUAAAAGAAACAAUUAUUGGAAUGGACCAGAAAUUCAACAAAAAAGUCUUUGAUAAGGGUUAUAUUUCUGGAUGCCUAGUACAAGCAAUUAUUGGUAAUAAUAAUAUUUCCUUUCAUUGGUGACUAUCAGAGAAAUUAAAAUUAUGUUUGGUAGAACAAGCUGAUAAGGAGUGAUCUUCAGAUUUUCAUGGGGGCUGUCUCCUGUUCAUGGUGUUGCAACUUGCUGUCUGUAGAUGAAAGUUACUGCCCAUUAAUAAUAAUUGCUGCAAUACAUCCCAGUCUGUUUUGGUGACAGAUAGUGUUGCUUAGUUCAAAGAACCACUGCCAGGAGUUUAAUAGCCAUUGGUUUUGGUGAGUAACAAACAAGCUAACACUGGCCUCUGCUGUGUUCAGAAACACUUGAAAAACAGCUACUGCCAUGGUCACAAAGGAGUAACAAUCCCUUUCCAUAAAUUCAAUUUGUUCAUAACCUUGUGACACAGACCAUAAAUAUUAUAUUUCACACAAAUGAACAAAUUACAUGAACAGUAUAUAUAAUAUUUACUUAACAAAAAUACAAACUAAAGUGCUGUAUGAACAAUCCAUCUAUUAGCAAAGGGUUGAUUUCUUAUUCUACAUAAAAUCCAGAUUGUAUGCCUAGCUGACUUGCUUGCUAAGACACUAUACUCUUUGCAGGUGUAAAGCAGUAGCAAGGAAAAUAUUUAUCAGUUGGCACUGAAGCUGCUUCUGCAAAAGUUACACCAGAGAAAAAAUUAAGAGGAGGCUGAGAUCUGGAUCAUGGAAAAGCUUGUAUGGUUUUCUGCACCAGAUGAUGGAAUUUAGGAAUGAAAAAAAAUAUUUAAAAGGAAGAUAUUUUUGUUUUUGAAAAUUAUUCUUGGUGAGUUUGUUUAAUAUGUUUUAUUUGCACACAUGAUUAGUACGCUAAUAAUAGCAAAAAAUGCUAAAAGAAUAAAAUUCCAAAGUACUAAAUCAGAAAAUACUUAUUGGAGAGACAAAUUUUUCCUCUGCUUUAUAUCUAAAACCCAGGUACCCAACAGGAGUCUAAGACAGAAUAGCAGUUUGGUUACUAUUUUUUUGUUUUUAGCAAAUUUCUCUUUGUGCUUUGAAAACUGGGAAAGAUAUCUCAUCUGAUGAAUUGGAUGUUUUAGUUUUUUAAGUAAUAUAAUUAAAAGUGUUGAUGACAGUUAGAGUAGAAAAGCAACUGAAAGUGGUGUAUGUAAGAAAAUACUGAAUUUUUUUACAUGUUUCUAUGUUACCACAAUUUCUUGCUGAAGAUUUACGGAAAGAAAAAAAGAUUAAAUUCAUAGAGUGUUUAAUUCUGUCUUCUAAUCAACAUAGUGGAAAAACAUUUUUGCCUUCCAAAUGCAAUGAUGUUGAUUUGCAUUUUCAUAGGGAAAAAAAAACCAAAAAGAAUUGUUAAAAAAUAAGAAUAGGCAAACCAUUUCCACUGCUGGAAAUGUCCAUUUUACUUUUUCAAUCUUUAUUGAGCACUAAACUUCUUCUAUGCGAAACUGUUAGUUUGUCCUGUUACCUGAGAUAACACAGGGCCAAACAAUGGGCAGGCUGAACAGUCAGGAAAAAGAUGAGGACCAGAGAAACUCUGUUUCUUGCAUACCUUUAUGUGAUCAGGAAAGUGACCCCUGAAAGAGUAAAAUGUUCAGGAAGCCUUCUCCUUCCCAGACAUGAGGUGAGAAGAGCUGGUGGAUUAAAGGAUCAUGCAAACUCAAACACAUCCAUCUGAAGGAAUGACCAAGCCAUUUAUCCAUUUUCAUUAAAAGAGACCAGACUUCCUGGUGACAUGUGUAAUACCAGUGUAGACACUGUUGCAGGUUUGGAAGGAUCUGCAUUAAACCAGCUGCCACCACUGGGUGGUGGAAACCUGAGGAUGGAUCUGAUGGGUGAAUUAUGUUGUGAUUUGCAGCAAAGUUGAGAAGAAAACCUCUUCCAGAUUAUAAAUUGGAAGGAUGACAUUUUGCAAAUGCCUGUUUAGUUGAAAAGUAUGCUUUUUGCUAAUCAUCCACUCUUUCUCAGCACAAAACAGUUAACAUUUUGUCAUGACAAGUAGAGGAAAUGAUAAUAGCACAAGAUAUUUCCUUAAAAAAAGAAUAUAAUAUAGAAUCAUAGGUAGGUCUGGUUAGGAAGGGACCCUUAAAGUUCAUCUAGUCUAAUCCCUCUGCCAUGGGCAGGGACAUCUCCAGCUAGUUCACACUGCUCAGAGCCCCCUCCAACCUGGUCUUGAAUGUUUCUAGAAAUGGGGUGGGCGUCUACCACUUCUGUGGGCAACCUGAUCCGCAGCGUCACUAUCCUAAUUGUAAAUAUAUUUCUUCCUUAUAUCUAGUCUAAAUAUAGCUGUUUUGAGUUCAAUAUAAUUACCCCUUGUCCAUUUAUUCUAUAUCCUUGUCAAAAGUCCCUUAUCAGAUCUCUUUUAGCCCCUUUAGGUGCUCUUAAAUUCUCCCUGGAGCCUUUUCUUUUCCAGGUUGAACAAACCCCAUUUCUUUCAUCCUGUCUUCAUAGGAGAGGUUCAGCCCUUGUGGAUCCUCCUGUAUUUGAUCCAAUUGGUCCAAAUUCUUCUUGCACUGGGGGCCCCAGAGCUUGAUGCAACACUCUGGGUGGGGUUUCACCAGAGCAGAGUAGAGGGGCAGAAUCAGCUCGCUUGACCUGCUGUCCACAGUGCUCUUGAUGCAGCCUGGGACACAUGCUGGGGUGUGUGUCCCACCUUUCUUCCAUCAGUAUACACAAGUCCUUCUUGUAAGGCCUCCUCUCAGCUCUCUCAUGCCCCUGACUAUGUCGAUCCAGGGGGUUGCCCCAACCCAGUGCAGGACCUUGCACUUGUUCUUGUUGAACCAGAUAUGCUUUCCAGAGUCCCACUUCUUGAGCUUGUCCAAGUCUCUCUGGAUGGCUUUCUGUCCUCCAGACAGAUGGGAUUUAUGUCAUAAAAAAUUGACUGCAGACAAUGUAAUAGGAAAUAAAUACACAGCCAAUAGACUUAAAACUAUUACAUGGAUCUCCACAGAUAUAAUUAGGAUUACUUAAUCUCAUUUGGCUCUGCCUUUUGAAAAAGUUUGGGUUUCUAGCCAAAUGAAGGCCAUUCAUUUGGGGUAAACUACCCAUAACCCAUUUGCCUUCAUGUUUCCCUUAAAGCAGUUGAAAAGAUCCCAAUUUUUUUCAUUUUCAUAGGAAAGAAAAAUAUACUUUUAGAAAAGUAUAAAACUAAAGUGGGCCUCAUAAAUAUGAAGAAACUUUGGAGUUGAUACUCUGCCAUGUAACAGAAAUAGGUGAAAGCAUACAGACACACCAGGAGCAGUUAGGAGUGAAAGAUCAAAUAAGAUGUGAGAAAUCAAAAUAUUUCAGAGACCUUUAGAACAGAUAUCAUACUACUGAUUCAAUUACCAGUGCAAAUGACACAUGUGUAGACAAUAUCAUGGGCUAAAGAGAGGGAAAGGCAGGCUGAAUCAUGAAUUUCUCUGCUCCUUUAUUUCUCCCUUUCUCUACUUCAUUAAUCCUGAUGUCAAAGGAAUGCACCUUCUGUCCAUACAUUUCACUGCAGUUUUACCAGGCUAAUGGGGAUUCUGCAAAUUAAUCUGUGAUGUUGUAUCAUAAUUCAGUGGACUGUGCUUUAAAAAAAAAAUUACAGACCUAUCCCUGUAUUUUUUUUUCAUAUUUUCUUGUGGCUGUGAUUAAAGACUUUAAAUCAACACUAGUUGCCACUCUACAGUGUCUGAAAUACUAUUGUCAUUUUCUCCUAUAAGACAGAUACCUCAGGAUAAAUAUUUCAAUGACAAAGUCAGUAUUUCUUUUUCCUCCAUGACUUCUGUUAAAAAACUUCAAAUAUUUAUAGAUUUUUAUUAAAUCUCACCGUCGUCACUUAUCAAUACUAUGAACUUAAACUUAUCCCAGUAAAUCAGUUCACCCAGUAUUUUAAUGUAUUUUUGUUUCUACAUUCUAUUUUAUAAUCAUGUUUCAGAGGAAAUAAAAGUGUGGACUUAACAGA